rnacentral:rRNA from 1 species
GAUGAACGCUAGCUACAGGCUUAACACAUGCAAGUCGAGGGGUAACGAGAGGAAAGCUUGCUUUCCUUGUCGACGACCGGCGCACGGGUGAGUAACGCGUAUCCAACCUGCCCCCAACUAGGGAAUAACCUUGCGAAAGUAAGACUAAUACCCUAUAAUUUCCUCAGAUGUCAUCUGACGAGGAAUAAAGAUUUAUCGGUUGUGGAUGGGGAUGCGUCUGAUUAGCUUGUUGGCGGGGUAACGGCCCACCAAGGCAACGAUCAGUAGGGGUUCUGAGAGGAAGGUCCCCCACAUUGGAACUGAGACACGGUCCAAACUCCUACGGGAGGCAGCAGUGAGGAAUAUUGGUCAAUGGGCGGAAGCCUGAACCAGCCAAGUAGCGUGCAGGAUGACGGCCCUAUGGGUUGUAAACUGCUUUUAUACAGGAAUAAAGUUAGCCACGUGUGGUUAUCUGUAGGUACUGUAUGAAUAAGGACCGGCUAAUUCCCUGCCAGCAGCCGCGGUAA